UUUAUCUCCAUGUGACUUCGUUCCACAGAGCCUGUGGGUUGCUGCUGGGGUGGGCCUGUGAGAAUCCAUGUUGAGAUUUGCUGGUUUUCCUCAUCUUACUCAGUUUGAAGUUUCAAAAUUCUCUGACUUCAAAUUAUGCCGAGAGAGUGGUUUCUGUAUGCUUUUUCCUUCUUGUGCUUGCAUUAUUUUGCAAUGAAAUAUCAGGAGACAGGUAGCCAGGCUACCACUAAUGUUUUAAACAAUCUGGAAGUUUGCUUUCAUUCUUGAAAGUUCCUAUUAGGGUAGCAGAAACACGUCGUUGCUGAAUGAAAAUGGGAUACUGAAUUCAUCUUCACUGUGCCUAAAAGUGCCAGGACACAUUAUUCUAACUGGGCCUCACCUGGAAAAAGGACCACAUUUUUAAUGAACAAGUUUAAAAUGGGUACAUAAAAUCUUUCAAUGACCA